rnacentral:rRNA from 1 species
UCGGGAAUUUUGGGCAAUGGGCGAAAGCCUGACCCAGCAACGCCGCGUGAAGGAUGAAGUAUUUCGGUAUGUAAACUUCGAAAGAAUAGGAAGAAUAAAUGACGGUACUAUUUAUAAGGUCCGGCUAACUACGUGCCAGCAGCCGCGGUAAUACGUAGGGACCAAGCGUUGUUCGGAUUUACUGGGCGUAAAGGGCGCGUAGGCGGCAAUUCAAGUCAUCUGUGAAAUCUCCGGGCUUAACUCGGAACGGUCAGAUGAUACUGCUUUGCUAGAGUGCAGAAGGGGCAAUCGGAAUUCUUGGUGUAGCGGUGAAAUGCGUAGAUAUCAAGAGGAACACCUGAGGUGAAGGCGGCUAACUGGUCCGGUACUGACGCUGAGGUGCGAAAGCGUGGGGAGCAAACAGGAUUAGAUACCCCCGUAGUCCCUGAGCGGGCUGGCAAGGCGCAU